AACGAACGCUGGCGGCGUGCUUAACACAUGCAAGUCGAACGCGAAAGUUUUCUUCGGAAAGCGAGUAGAGUGGCGCACGGGUGAGUAACGCGUAAGUAAUCUACCCUGGUAUCUGGGAUAACCCACCGAAAGGUGUGCUAAUACCGGAUACGCUGAGUAAUCAGGAAAGGUGGCCUCUUCAUGAAAGCUACUGUACCAGGAGGAGCUUGCGUACCAUUAGCUAGUUGGUAGGGUAAUGGCCUACCAAGGCAACGAUGGUUAGCGGGUCUGAGAGGAUGAUCCGCCACACUGGAACUGGAACACGGACCAGACUCCUACGGGUGGCUG
rnacentral:rRNA from 1 species